GUAAGAUUGUGCUCCUCAAAGAAAACUCAUACAGGCUUCAGAGUAAUUAAUGGCAGGAUGGACGCAGCGAGGUCAUAGAAAGUAAUAUAAAAUAUUCUUAGUAAGUAUAGUAAUUGCAUAGAUGGAGAAUCAAGUGUAGUAUUCGAAGAUCUUAAUUAUAGAGUUGUGAAGUCCUAAUAGGUGGUAUAAUGAGGCGAACAAGCUCUAAAACGAACUAAUUGUGUCUUAAUGACAUCUUUAAUGUGGAAAUGAAACAAUGGCGUCUGCUCCAGAGAGAAGCUGACUUCAUCUGUGGCUGUCAUUGGCAGACUGGACUCUUCUUCAUCAGGAGGGAGGAGAUUUUCUCCGGCACACCCAGAUUAGGAGUUUAAAUGAGCUCUAGUAUGCACUGCAGAUGCUAUGAAACGCAGAAGAGAUGUUUUCCAGAAGAACCCAUUCGGUGAGCUCAGAAAAACAGCAGUCCGGAGCUGUUAUUUCCCAGCCGUCCCAGUUCUCCCUGGAGGAUGGAUGCAAUUUCCACACAGAAAACAACAUUUGGAUCUGCUGGAAGUGGAACAAAGCUCCAUAGAGAGCAUCAACAUGGUGCAUAAGUUCAUGAAUUUAAACAAUCCAGUAUAAAUGCUUGGUUUGACCUUUACGGUGCAGAAGAGUGACCCACAAACCCCAGCAGUGUCCUGGAUCAUGAGCUGUCUUCAGCAUCUGCUCUCAAACUCUUGCAGUGGAGUCCAACUCCUGCAGCCAAGACAGUGGAUCAGGAAUCAAUCCACAGACCCAACAGUAACUCCAGAGCCAAGACGCUGACCCGACUGAGCUGAGGAAUCUGAUCUCCCGCCUGCAGAAACUCACUGUCAGCAUCUUACAGCACAGACUCCUGCCUGCGAGAGCCCUCGCGCUCCUACACAACAGCCAACAGCAGGAGCAGCUGUGGCCCGUAUCGACUUCCUCCAACUGAUCCGUGCCAGGAGGUGUGUCUUUGUUUUGAGUUGAAGUUCAUAUGGAAAACAGGAGGGAACUGCAACAUUCCUGUCAUCAAGGAGGGCAUGCAAAAACGUAACGUCAGCUUGUGUUCAUGCAAAUACU
ensembl:lncRNA